AGUGAACGCUGGCGGUAGGCCUAACACAUGCAAGUCGAACGGCAGCACAGUAAGAGCUUGCUCUUACGGGUGGAGAGUGGCGGACGGGUGAGGAAUACAUCGGAAUAUACUUUUUCGUGGGGGAUAACGCAGGGAAACUUACGCUAAUACCGCAUACGACCUACGGGUGAAAGCAGGGGUCCUUCGGACUUGGCGGGAGUGGAUGUGCCGGUGUCGGAUUAGGUAGUUGGGGGGGUAAAGGCCCACCAAGAGGGGGAUCCGUAGCUGGACAGAGAGGGUGAUUCGCCACACUGUCACUGAGACACGGCCCACACUCCUACGCGAGGCAGCAGCGGGGACUAUUGCGCAAGGGACCAAAGCCUAAUCCUGCCCUAUCGCGUGAGUCAAGAAGGCCUUCUGGUUGUAAAGCCCUUUUGUUGGGAAAAAAGAGCAGCAGUUUCAUCCCCCGCUGUUCUGACGGUACCCAAAGAAUAAGCCCCGGCUAACUUCGUG
rnacentral:rRNA from 1 species